rnacentral:rRNA from 1 species
CAAGUCGAACGAUUAAAGCUCUCUUCGGAGAGUGCAUAGAGUGGCGCACGGGUGAGUAACACGUAAGUAAUCUACCUUCGAGUGGGGAAUAACGUCCGGAAACGGACGCUAAUACCGCAUAAUGCAGCGGCAUCGCAAGAUGACAGUUGUUAAAGAUUUAUCGCUUGAAGAGGAGCUUGCGGCAGAUUAGCUAGUUGGUAAGGUAAUGGCUUACCAAGGCUACGAUCUGUAACCGGUCUAAGAGGACGGUCGGUCACACUGACACUGAACAACGGGUCAGACUCCUACGGGAGGCAGCAGUCGGGAAUUUUGGGCAAUGGGCGAAAGCCUGACCCAGCAACGCCGCGUGAAGGAUGAAGUAUUUCGGUAUGUAAACUUCGAAAGAAUGGGAAGAAUAAAUGACGGUACCAUUUAUAAGGUCCGGCUAACUACGUGCCAGCAGCCGCGGUAAUACGUAGGGACCAAGCGUUGUUCGGAUUUACUGGGCGUAAAGGGCGCGUAGGCGGCGUGACAAGUCACUUGUGAAAUCUCCGGGCUUAACUCGGAACGGCCAAGUGAAACUGUCAUGCUAGAGUGCAGAAGGGGCAAUCGGAAUUCUUGGUGUAGCGGUGAAAUGCGUAGAUAUCAAGAGGAACACCUGAGGUGAAGACGGGUUGCUGGGCUGACACUGACGCUGAGGCGCGAAAGCCAGGGGAGCAAACGGGAUUAGAUACCCCGGUAGUCCUGGCCCUAAACGAUGAAUACUUGGUGUCUGGAGUUAUUAGUGCUCCGGGUGCCGUCGCUAACGUUUUUAGUAUUCCGCCUGGGGAGUACGCUCGCAAGAGUGAAACUCAAAGGAAUUGACGGGGGACCCGCACAAGCGGUGGA